UGGGGGAUAUUGCACAAUGGGGGAAACCCUGAUGCAGCGACGCCGCGUGAGUGAAGAAGUAUUUCGGUAUGUAAAGCUCUAUCAGCAGGGAAGAAAGAAAUGACAGUACCUGACUAAGAAGCCCCGGCUAACUACGUGCCAGCAGCCGCGGUAAUACGUAGGGGGCAAGCGUUAUCCGGAUUUACUGGGUGUAAAGGGAGCGUAGGCGGCUUAGUAAGUCAGAAGUGAAAGCCCGCAGCUCAACUGCGGGACUGCUUUUGAAACUGCCAGGCUAGAGUGUCGGAGAGGUAAGUGGAAUUCCUA
rnacentral:rRNA from 1 species